GUUUUUUAUGGCUCGAGCUAAAAUUACGGAUAAGUUCACUGCGCAGAGAUAAACCGGGACGUCAAUUCUUUCUUCACCUCUAGAGUUUACGCGAUUGUCGAAAUGCUUUUAUAUUCAUGAACCUGCAUGUUGAGUGGAACUUGAGCCUACUCGUAGAAAUGGUCAAUCGGCGUUUCAAAAGAUGGAGGAGCGUCAUUGCCUGCAAGAUAACGUAGUAGGUUAGCUCGACAUGGCUCGUUUAUCGGUGAUGUAAAAGACGUUAAUACUGCUACUGCUGCUGUUAUUGUUGUUGAGGGGCGCCGAAUUUACUGAGUCUUCUAGCAGUAUUGAGCGUGAGCGCCCCUCUGGCGAGGGGCGCUGGGCCGAACAGUGUUGCGCUAGCUGGUGUGCCUCCUAGCCCCUUCAGCAACUGUCAUCAGCUAAAUGGAGUGGGAAAACGAAGCUAAUCACCUGUUGCUCCGACUGCGAGAAGCUAAGUUGGCCGAAAAUAUAUCAGGCAGUGAGAAAGAAGACAGAACGUACACGAAAAAGACACCAGAGGGGUCAUACUCGAUUUUGUUAGGAUUUGUUGCUAAAUGACUUAGAUAAUAUCCAGCACUUCAGGACUAUUACCUUUGUAUGUGCUGCGUUGUACGGUUUGUGCGGGUCUCUCUUGUUUGCGAAUAUAAUGGUAAAGAGCAACGUCGUUAGCCAUUUGCUUUAGCGGCUUUAGAGGCUAAAAUACGCUCGGUAUCGUUGCUAUGGUCCUUAUCGAAAAUAAAGAUGAAGAUCCCAAGGUGAUUUCCCAGUUAGUACCGACGUUGAAAAUGUGGGCUCCAGCGAUUCUCUGGAUAUUGCAAAGUAGAUUACUCUUUUUCUGCUUUGUACUUGACGCCUUCUACGUCCGUGCAGCGGCAAUCGAUUCCGUGACCGAUAUCAGCAAUCUAUGAAACUUGAUGGACGCUUGAGAGAAUCCUCGCUAACGCAUCGGCUGCUUUACCUGCUUCAGCUAUAGCUUAUUUUCAUGUAAAUUACCAUUAAAUGACUAAUCCGAGUACUUCCAUUUA